rnacentral:tmRNA from 1 species
AGGACCCAAGACUUUACCAAGAAAAGUCUCCUCUCGUCUUAUAUAUUGGAGAUCAUUUACAGAGCAAUUAUUUGCCAUGAAAGUGGAAUACUCCUUUGUGCCCAAGCACUUUUUAGAGUGCACUCAUGGAUGGGCCCUAACUACACAAGGCACAGACCUGGAUCCUGGGACCAGACUAAAAUUUCAAAACAUCACACCUAUAUCUGUCCAACCCAGCGAAGGAACAAAAGUGCCUCUUGGUCUGUUUAUCCAGAAAACAAGCGGAUUUCCCUUGAUCCUAAAUGCGAUUUGUGCCAACAGUCUCGUCACCGGCCACACUGGACUGAUUGACCCCGGCUACCGGGGUGAAAUCUCUGUUAUCCUGGCAACGGCGGCUCAGAGCACGGUGGAGAUUCAACCGGGCCAAUUGACCAUCUAUAUCCUGCCUGUGAGCUACACGGUUCCUGUCAUAACAGAUGACCACCUCCUAAAGAACCCAGUAUAUGACGAAGAUGCAGGAUUUGAUUUCAGAGCCUCUGAGGACCUGUGUCUGCUACCAAAGACUCGACACACCUUCCAGUUUGAUUUGACCCAUUUAUCUGGCAUUGCUCCAGAAUUUACCCCAGUGGUACUUGGCAGGUCUGGCAUCGCCUGUAGAGGAAUACUAGUGACACCUACCGGUAUCAACAUGGCUGAAAAAUUUUCAUUGACACUCCAUAAUCUGACAACAGAACCCAUAAUUAUCCCUCAAGGCAUCAGAAUAGCCCAAAUAGUAUUUAUUUCUAAAUCUUAUAGUCCCUCCCUGCUGCAGCUGUUAACAAGCAAAGAAUGCUCAAUGGACAUACCGGGUUUAGCUGUUGUACAGUUUAUUAGGGUUCCGCACGAAGCUGCAGACAAGUCUGAAAUUGCUGAAGAAAAGAAUAGGCGAUACAGCAAACAGAGGCCAGGAAAGCCUUCUAGGGAGGGGCGGGGGUUUGGGUCAAGUGGGGUGAAUUAAUAAAACUGCACACAAAAUGAUGUGUGUGACCAGUUUCAAUAAACAGCAUUUGAAAG